AACCGCCAGAGUCGCGGGCGGGGCGGGGACGGGGCUGCCGCAGCACCCCGCCUCUCACCGCUCCGCGCAGCUGGGAAACUGGAAUGCACCAACCGCAGGGGGCGUCCGUGACGUGUUCGCGGAUGGGGCAUGGCCGCGGGGCGGCCGAGGUCCAGGACCGCCAUGUCCUCCCUGAGAUGCUGAAGUGUCCCCAGCUGCAUCAUCACGAAUGUGGUGACCAAAGUUGAUGGCGGGUUGUGUCAUGUGGAGUGGGCCACACAGAAUGAACCCAAGUUGUCUUUAGGGACCAGGGGUCAGGAGCUUGGAGCAGCCUCAUAUGCAGUCCCAGCAGAAUUGCCGAGGCAGGAAGAUCCUGAGUUUGAGACCAACCUGGGCUGUAUAGCAAGAGUCUCAAGAACAAAGAGGAGAAGAAAAAUUUUAAGCACCCUGGGCUAAAAGAAUUUAGAUCAUGAGCAACUUGUGGGGGCAUCUUGGACCUAUAUGCUGGACCAGUGACAAACUUAGAGCUUUGAAGAGACAGAUCAUGUCCCCAUACUGUGUUCAUCCAGUUUCUCUGUUGAAUAAACAUGUUAAGGAGUGA